rnacentral:tRNA from 1 species
GGCUGAGUUUAGGCGAUAAAUUGUAAAUUUAUUUAUGGAAAAAAAUUUUCUUUUA